CCUUUCCAGUUUUCCACGGGGGCCCCAAGGAACGCCUGCGGCUGGAAUUCCCCAGGAGACAGGGAGCUGUAACAAUAGAGGUUCAUAUUCUAAAGAGAGCAGGCACUGAGCAAACGUUUGUUGAACUGAACCAAUCUGCUGGUUAUGGGGACAUGACCUCCACUUCAUGGUGUUGAACUAAACAAACACAUACUUCUCCAGACAAAUAUUAACACUGGUGAACUUCAAAAUAAUGUGAAAA
rnacentral:sRNA from 1 species